rnacentral:pre_miRNA from 12 species
ACUGGCCGGCCUCCCGCAAGGACGGGUAUUCUUGGGUAGAUAAUACCGAUGGCGCUGUUAUUGCUUGAGAAUACACGUAGUCGAGGGGAGGCAUCUUCACC